rnacentral:rRNA from 1 species
UCCGUAGCCGGUUUGGUAAGUUCCUGGUUAAAUCUGGCAGCUUAACUGUCAGUCAGCUAGGAAUACUACUUUACUAGAGGGUGGGAAAGGUUUGAGGUACUCCAGGGGUAGCGGUGAAAUGCGAUAAUCCUUGGGGGACCACCAGUGGCGAAGGCGUCAGACUGGAACACGCCUGACGGUGAGGGACGAAAGCCAGGGGAGCGAACAGGAUUAGAUACCCUGGUAGUCC